GUACUAAAAGAAGAUGUAAAUCAAGUAUUUUCUUCUAGAUUCUGCCUUUCCCUGAGAUGUGAACUUAAUUAAGAACUCUACUUUGUUUGGUUUCAAUUUCUUUUUUAAUUGCGAUUUAUUGCUUUUUAAUUGGUAAAGUUUAGCUUUAUCUGUUGUGUGUUUAGUGUAACUAGUGAAUUUUUUCCCUUUUUUUUAUUCCUAUUAUCUUGAAUUUACGUGCUAUAGCUGAGUUGAG
rnacentral:misc_RNA from 1 species